UUUAUCAUUAAUCGGCCAGUUACCGAUUAAUUUCUCCGAUUUGAGUGAAAUCGCGUCGGAUGAGUACUGCCGAGUGAUUAUCCGGCCGCCUGCGUUUUUGAAUAGGGGUUCCAACCAUACUAAUUUGUAAACGUUUCGGUGCAUGAUAAGAAACAGAUGAUGAGAGAUUAAGCUAUCGGGAUAGUAGACAUUAGACCAGCUUUGAAGGAGGGGCUCAUCAUUUCUGGCAAGUCCUUGUGGCGAGAGAUGAUACGAAGAAGGAUGACCUUGUCAAUGAUAUGAGCUAGGUAGAGGGGAGAAUGCGGAUGUUGGUGAUGCUUCCA